rnacentral:siRNA from 1 species
ACGGGAAGCACACUGGACAUCAUU